UACGGAGGAUCCAAGCGUUAUCCGGAAUCAUUGGGUUUAAAGGGUCCGUAGGCGGUUUUGUAAGUCAGUGGUGAAAGCCCAUCGCUCAACGGUGGAAACGGCCAUUGAUACUGCAAGACUUGAAUUAUUAGGAAGUAAACUAGAAUAUGUAGUGUAGCGGUGAAAUGCUUAGAGAUUACAUGGAAUACCAAUGCGUAAGGCAGGUUACUCUUAAUGGAUUGACGCUGAUGGACGAAAAGCGUGGGGGGAGCGAAA
rnacentral:rRNA from 1 species